rnacentral:sRNA from 1 species
CCCGCCAAGCCUCUGUGCGCAAGUGCAAGCUCAAAUCUGGCGGGU